rnacentral:lncRNA from 1 species
CACAUCCCAAUGACUCAUUUGGACUCCUUUGGACAAGUAACUAGAGCUCCCAUUUGAAAGAAUGACAAGCAAGCUACCUCAAAUUUCUCUUUCUCAACCCAUGACUUCACCUUUUCUGUUCCUUAAUGCUCUCAUCAUCCAGCCCUCCUUUCUGCUGUUUUUCCUCAGUUUUCAAGCCUGCACCCUAGUCUUCUGUGCCAUCCCACUUUUUUGGGGUUCUGCCCUAUCUGUUACCCCUCUCCGAAUAAUGUCAGCCCCGCCCACUACCCUACUGUAAGGAUCUGCCCAGCUCUUCCUCUGUGGGUUUUAAACCGUGCAUCUGCUGCCACCACGUUCAUCAGGGUCCCAAUUUCCAUUACACCCCUGCCUUUCCCCCGCUCCUCCUCCUAGCCCUUGUUUCUAAUCCCCUGUACUCUAGCUCCCACUCCCAAUCGAGCCACCCCCAACCAACCAUGACAAUUCACAGCUCUCAUCCUGGAGAGAUGGUUUCCCUCAUGCUGGGACAGUUCUGGGGCAGUUCAGAAUUGCCAGGACUGUGGAUUCCCAGCAGCUUGGCCUGGUGGACACACGGAAUGCAAGACAACAGCAAACCCACCUUCAGCCUUGUUUGCUCCUUUCCUCUCAUGCCUGGUCAGCCAGCCUGCAUGAGGUUCUCUACGUUUGAG